GCAGUCAAUUGUCCUUUAAUUGGGGAAAGGAAUGAAAGGGUUGACGAGGGGGAGGCUGUCUUUGUAAUAUAAUUUGAAAUUUUCUUUUACGUGAAAAGACUUAAAUUUUAAAAUAAGAAGAGAAGACCCCGGCGAGCUUGUUAAGGGUUGUUAAAUGAAAAUGACCAUUGAGGUUUGUUGGGGCAACGCAAAGGGAAGAAAACUCCUUUGAAUGUGAUAAGGAUCCACUAAGAGUGAAUAAAGCAAAAGCUACCGCGGGGAUAACAGCGCAAUUUUCUUAGAGAGUUCAUAUCGAAGAGAAAGUUU
rnacentral:rRNA from 1 species